rnacentral:lncRNA from 1 species
CGGCCGGCUAGCUGCAAUCUGCUACUCAAAUGAACAUACAGAGUCCAGCAUGCUUUGUUAGUUAAUUAAUAGGUUUGAGAUGUAUCAGGAACUUCGUUGCGCGCUGCUGCUUGGAUUAGCCUCAUCGCUCAUGCAAGUCAAGCCUGCGAUGUAAACAAAUACAACGGUGAGUCUUACGAGAGUCUAAGCAAAAGGUUAAGGAUGACUGAACGAGGGAUGACAUGACGGCUCUAACAAAAUAUUAGUAAUGUCCAAAGUAUUAGCGAUGUCGUAUGUCACAAAGUGUGAGGAUGAGAUGACAUAAGUGAUUAGAAAUGCCGUAGGUGAGAAUGAGACGACGUCUAGCAAAAGAUUGAGCAAUAAAAGCAGAGUUGUGUACCAAGCGUUUCAGAAAAUUUACCUCACCCAUCGAUCCCUGUCACAUUUAUCUU